AUUGAACGCUGGCGGCAGGCUUAACACAUGCAAGUCGAACGAGUGGCGGACGGGUGAGUAAUGUAUGGGGAUCUGCCCGAUAGAGGGGGAUAACUACUGGAAACGGUGGCUAAUACCGCAUACUAUCUGUUGACCCCAUAUGGGAUUAGCUAGUAGGUGGGGUAAAGGCUAACCUAGGCGACGAUCUCUCGCUGGUCUGAGAGGAUGAUCAGCCAAACUGGAACUGAGAAACGGACCAGACUCCUACGGGAGGCAGCAGGGGGGAAUAUUGCACAAUGGGCGAAAGCCUGAUGCAGCCAUGCCGCGUGUAUGAAGAAGGCCUUAGGGUUGUAAAGUACUUUCAGCGGGGAGGCGUUACCCGCAGAAGAAGCACCGGCUAACUCCGUGCCAGCAGCCGCGGUAAUUC
rnacentral:rRNA from 1 species